CGGCCCCGCCUCCCACCUCCCCGACGUCCAGCUGUGCCGCCACCUCCCACCUCCCCGGCGACCAGCCGCGGCCCGCCCCCCACCUCACCGGUUUCCAGCCGUGCCCCCGCCUCCCACCUCCCCGGCUACCAACCGCGGCUCUGCCCCCUCUCCCCCUCCCACCUACCGGCGACUCGCCGCGCCCACUUCCUACCUACAGGCGAAAAUACCGCGCCCCCGCCGGCCGCCGCGUCCACCGCCCCGCACCUGCAGCCAUGACCACCAACCACCACGCUGGCGACCGCUUCCUCUCUGAUUUUAGGCAUCGCCGGGUCCCGUCCCCUUCCUUCCACGCGCUGUCGACCGCUCCCUGCUGAUUCCACACGUCGCCACCCCAUCCCCUGCUUCCACGCGCUGAUGUCCUCUCUGCUUCCACCGCGUCGGCAGCUCACCCCCUGCUUCCACUUCCAUUCGCCGCCUCUGAAUCCCGCGCACUACCGCCCUCCCUUACCCCCUGCAGCUCGCCGUGUGCAAGUUCUUCAGUCCAAGUUCUCCGGCGAGCUCGUUCAAGUUCAGAAAGUUUUGGACUAAUCAUUCAAGUUCUUUAGUAUAGAAGGUUCAGAAAGUUUUGUUCCUGAAACUGCACAUAUUUGGAGUACACCAAAUAUAUAUGUAUUUCUGAAUUUUGCUCUUGUGUAACAGUUCAACAUGUACUAUGCCAUCAAUUCAUAAUGGGAAGGCAGUAAACAGUUCAAUACUUGUGUGUUAAAAACAUAACAGUAUAGAGAAAACUUUCGUAGUAGUUCGAUGGAGUAAAUCGCAUCAGUUCUGACUCGGAUCCAUUCUUGCCUACAACGCAUUGAAAAAUCAAUUUUUUUGCCUUUGUUCAGGCUUGAGAAGCAUGUAUCUCUAGGAUAUGUGCCAUGUUAAACUUGAGUUGUUUUCAGUUAACACAGACUGACUGUCUCUUAAGCCUAAACUAAAAUUUAUUUAUGUGAGAGAAACGUGAACUGAAGUUGUUCCCAAGUAAAAGAAACCUCAACUUGUUUGAGCAUAUGCUGGUUAGGAUAAUUGUAAUUACUUUAGCUCUCGUCAAUGGUAACAGAACAAUUUUUUUGGCUCCUCUUAAAUGUAACUUGAAGAACGUUAGGGCUGAGGUUGGGCAUUGUUCAUCAAUGGUAAGUUGUUCAUAGGGCCGGCCGGCAGAAAAUUUCCAAAGUUCAACUAUGUUGCUAGAGCUUCAGUCCAACUAUGUUGCUUCUACGAUUUUCCUUAUGCAGAAAAUCACACUGAAGAACGUUGAACUAUGUUUCAUCUAUGAACUUAACCGUGUUUGUUCUUUGAGCUAAAAUUCCUAGAGCUUCAGUCCAACUUUUGGUGAUUCUUGUACCUAUUGUUCAGAAAUCAAUGGUAAAAAUUUCUGAUAGCAGCAAUGCCAUGCUCCCAGCCCACCGAGACUGAAUCAUUCGACACCAUUGCUCUGCACAGCGUGGCUCGAUGUGCAGCCCGCCGGCUCCGUCGUGUACAUCCAGACAAGACACUAUGGUGUAUAAUUUAAUGCAUGAAGCUAAACUCCAAUACUUGCAUCCGCCACCCCAACGCCGGCGUGUUCCCUUAGUCCUCUCUCGACAAAUCCAACAGUACAGGUUCUCUGGUGCGCCAAGUGUUGCCUGCGGCGAUGCCUGCAUCAUGGCCCAUUGAGGAGAUCUUGUGUAUUCCACAUAGAAGAAAUAUUGUCAGUUCAUGAAUAGAGAAUUUCUAUACCAGACUUAAUAUUAGUUCGCACAAGUAGCAAAUGGGAUUGACUGGGAGUGAUCCCUGAACCAUUUCAUUAAAGUCCAUGGUUUCCAACAACGCUAAUGCUACUAGAAAGGAGCUGGAGGUGAUGAAGCCUCUUGGCUUCUCCAAUUAGCAUGUUUGGCCAGUCCUGAAGCUCCUCCUCAAGCUCUUCGAUGAUGACUGGGCGCCCAUCGAGGACGAGAGCUACCGCAUCCUUGUUGACACCAUACUGGAUGGAAAAAGCAAUGAACCAAUACCUACCACUACCCGUCAUGUAAAAAAUGCUACUUUCGUUUUUGUUAGCCUUCCUUAAUUACCACUUGAUGCUCACCUUUCCAAUUGCAGUUUCCAAAAAAUUUUAGAGCUUCAGUCCAACUAUGUUGCUUCUGCGAUUAUCCAUAUGUAGAAAAUCACACUAAAGAUUGUUUUGUUCUCUGAACCUAAACACAUUUGUUCUUUGAGCUUAAAUGCAUUUAUUCUCCAAACAUAAACAUGAUGGUUCUCUGAACUUAAGUGUGUGUGUUCUAUGUGUAUUCGGUGUGUGUUAGAGAACAAUAUGAUGUAUUUUGUUCUUGUAGAAUAAAAAUAUGAUGUAUGCAUUGCUUCUUGGCCCAGCUGAGAGAACCCUCAUGUUCAAAAGUAUAAAGUACUUUUGAAGCAAUUCCUAGUGUCUUUCGAAGCAUUCAUGGUUAAAAAGCAACGACAACCUCCUCCGUUCGAGUUGAGCAUUGGUCAUCGUUCGAGUUGAGGACUAGGUGCCGUCCAAGUUCAAAGAGGGAUGUAUGCAAGUA